GAGUUUCCAACUCUAUAAAUACCACCAUUUCAAUUGUUUGUUUCAUCACCAAGAAAUCAAUAGAAAAUAAGAGCUAUGGCAAAGUACACUACUUUUCUUGCCCUUCUCUUUUGCCUCUUCCUUGUUGCUGCAACUGAAAUACAAAUGGCAGAAGGCAAAUACUGCUGGAAAAAAAGUGACAAGUGGAAUGGACCUUGUCAAUACUCUUACAAAUGUAGUCAUCAUUGCAAGUACUACUAUGGAGCUAAAUAUGGUAUUUGUAAGAAAUAUAAACCAUGGGGUCACAAAUAUUACUGGGCUAAAUAUGCAUGCUACUGCUACUCACCUUGUCACUACUAAGAAUAUGUCAGUAUCUCAUGGCUUGGUUUUGAUUAUGUAAACAAAUAAUUAUGAUGCUACCUAUUUUGUGUAUGUGACAAUGCAAUAAGGAUGAUUUAUGUGUGCAACUAGUUUACCCAAGCUUUGCGUGGUGAGUUAUUGUACUGUAAAUGCCUUUCUAUUAAUAUCAAUUGAUGUGAAUUAUGCU